AUUGAACGCUGGCGGCAUGCCUUACACAUGCAAGUCGAACGGCAGCACGGGGCAACCUGGUGGCGAGUGGCGAACGGGUGAGUAAUGCAUCGGAACGUACCUUUCAGUGGGGGAUAACGUAGCGAAAGUUACGCUAAUACCGCAUAUUCUGUGAGCAGGAAAGCAGGGGAUCGCAAGACCUUGCGCUGAUUGAGCGGCCGAUGUCAGAUUAGGUAGUUGGUGAGGUAAGGGCUCACCAAGGCGACGAUCUGUAGCGGGUCUGAGAGGAUGAUCCGCCACACUGGAACUGAGGCACGGUCCAGACUCCUACGGGAGGCAGCAGUGGGGAAUUUUGGACAAUGGGGGCAACCCUGAGUCAGCCAUGCCGCGUGAGUGAAGAAGGCCUUCGGGUUGUAAAGCUCUUUCGGCCGGGAAGAAAUCGCAUGGGUUAAUACCCUGUGUGGAUGACGGUACCGGAAUAAGAAGCACCGGCUAACUACGUGCCAGCAGCCGCCGUAAAAC
rnacentral:rRNA from 1 species